rnacentral:rRNA from 1 species
CGCGUGCACUGGUCCGGCCGGGUCUUUCCCUCUGCGGAACCCCAUGCCCUUCACUGGGUGUGGCGGGGAAACAGGACUUUUACUUUGAAAAAAUUAGAGUGCUCAAGGCAGGCCUAUGCUCGAAUACAUUAGCAUGGAAUAAUAGAAUAGGACGUGUGGUUCUAUUUUGUUGGUUUCUAGGACCGCCGUAAUGAUUAAUAGGGACAGUCGGGGGCAUCAGUAUUCAAUUGUCAGAGGUGAAAUUCUUGGAUUUAUUGAAGACUAACUACUGCGAAAGCAUUUGCCAAGGAUGUUUUCAUUAAUCAGGAACGAAAGUUAGGGGAUCGAAGACGAUCAGAUACCGUCGUAGUCUUAACCAUAAACUAUGCCGACUAGGGAUCGGACGACGUUACAUUUUUGACGCGUUCGGCACCUUACGAGAAAUCAAAGUGCUUGGGCUCCAGGGGGAGUAUGGUCGCAAGGCUGAAACUUAAAGAAAUUGACGGAAGGGCACCACCAGGGGUGGAGCCUGCGGCUUAAUUUGACUCAACACGGGGAAACUCACCAGGUCCAGACACAAUGAGGAUUGACAGAUUGAGAGCUCUUUCUUGAUUUUGUGGGUGGUGGUGCAUGGCCGUUCUUAGUUGGUGGAGUGAUUUGUCUGCUUAAUUGCGAUAACGAACGAGACCUUAACCUGCUAAAUAGCCCGUAUUGCUUUGACAGUACGCUGGCUUCUUAGAGGGACUAUCGG